CUCAUAAGGCCACAGACCACAAUUAAUUCCUCUAUCAGUUCUUUAUAACGUUUUGUAUCAUUAAAAAAAUUGCACCAUGCACUUUUGUCAAAUUUUUUGUGUGUGUAAUGUAUAGCCCUAGUCCAAAUAUAUAUCCAAAAUUCAGAAAGAUUGAAACAAUCACUUUUACAAAUUUAGCCAAUACACAUCCAUACCCCUAUCGACAAGUCAAGAGAUGUUCCGAAAACUGUAAAUAUGACCUUUUUGCACUUGGCCUAAUCACUCAUUCCAUAUCAAAAUCAGUUUAAAUACAACAUCCAAAAAUUUAUUUCACCUCUCUUCUUUCAUUUCCACCCAAAAAAAUCUAAGAAAUGAGUGAGGAAGGGAAAGAAAAAAAAUUAAGGAAAAAUACACUCUAAUUAAAAGGAACUAUAUUCG
rnacentral:lncRNA from 1 species